GACGAACGCUGGCGGCGUGCUUAACACAUGCAAGUCGAACGGAAAGGCCCUGCUUUUGUGGGGUGCUCGAGUGGCGAACGGGUGAGUAACACGUGAGUAACCUGCCCUUGACUUUGGGAUAACUUCAGGAAACUGGGGCUAAUACCGGAUAGGAGCUCCUGCUGCAUGGUGGGGGUUGGAAAGUUUCGGCGGUUGGGGAUGGACUCGCGGCUUAUCAGCUUGUUGGUGGGGUAGUGGCUUACCAAGGCUUUGACGGGUAGCCGGCCUGAGAGGGUGACCGGCCACAUUGGGACUGAGAUACGGCCCAGACUCCUACGGGAGGCAGCAGUGGGGAAUAUUGCACAAUGGGCGGAAGCCUGAUGCAGCAACGCCGCGUGCGGGAAGACGGCCUUCGGGGUGGAAACCGCUUUCGCCUGUGACGAAGCGUGAGUGACGGUAAUGGGUAAAGAAGCACCGGCUAACUACGUG
rnacentral:rRNA from 1 species